rnacentral:rRNA from 1 species
CACGUAGGGCGCAAGCGUUGUCCGGAAUUAUUGGGCGUAAAGAGCUCGUAGGCGGUCUGUUGCGUCUGCUGUGAAAACCCGGGGCUUAACCCCUGGCUUGCAGUGGAUACGGACAGACUAGAGGUAGGUAGGGGAGAAUGGAAUUCCCGGUGUAGCGGUGAAAUGCGCAGAUAUCGGGAAGAACACCCGUGGCGAAGGCGGUUCUCUGGGACGGUACUGACGCUGAGACGCGAAAGCGUGGGGAGCGAACAGG